rnacentral:rRNA from 1 species
UACGUAGGGAGCGAGCGUUGUCCGGAAUUACUGGGCGUAAAGGGUGCGUAGGCGGCAUGUUAAGUUAGAUGUCAAAUACCCGGGCUUAACCCGGGGACGCAUCUAAAACUGGCGUGCUUGAGUGCAGGAGAGGAAAGUGGAAUUCCUAGUGUAGCGGUGGAAUGCGUAGAUAUUAGGAGGAACACCAGUGGCGAAGGCGACUUUCUGGACUGUAACUGACGCUGAAGCACGAAAGCGUGGGGAGCAAACAGGAUUAGAUACCCUGGUAGUCCACGCUGUAAACGAUGGAUACUAGGUGUGGGUGACAGAAGUCAUCCGUGCCGCAGCUAACGCAAUAAGUAUCCCGCCUGGGGAGUACGGUCGCAAGACUGAAACUCAAAGGAAUUGACGGGGGCCCGCACAAGCAGCGGAGCAUGUGGUUUAAUUCGAAGCAACGCGAAGAACCUUACCAAGGCUUGACAUCCUCUGACGCGCGUAGAGAUACGCGUUUCCCUUCGGGGACAGAGAGACAGGUGGUGCAUGGUU